UAUUGCACAAUGGGGGGAACCCUGAUGCAGCGACGCCGCGUGGGUGAAGGAGCGUUUCGGCGCGUAAAGCCCUAUCGGCAGGGAAGAAGGAGGACGGUACCUGACUAAGAAGCCCCGGCUAACUACGUGCCAGCAGCCGCGGUAAUACGUAGGGGGCAAGCGUUAUCCGGAUUUACUGGGUGUAAAGGGAGCGUAGACGGCGGGGCAAGUCUGGAGUGAAAGGCCGGGGCCCAACCCCGGGACCGCUCUGGAAACUGCCCGGCUGGAGUGCGGGAGAGGUAAGCGGAAUUCCUAGUGUAGCGGUGAAAUGCGUAGAUAUUAGGAGGAACACCAGCGGCGAAGGCGGCUUACUGGACCGUGACUGACGUUGAGGCUCGAAAGCGUGGGGAGCAAACAGG
rnacentral:rRNA from 1 species